rnacentral:rRNA from 1 species
GGACAACGGCUGGCGGCGUGCCUAAUACAUGCAAGUAGAAAGCUGAAGAGAGGAGCUUGCUCUUCUUGGAUGGGUUGGCGAACGGGUGAGUAACGCGUAGGUAACCUGCCUUGUAGCGGGGAUAACUAUUGAAACGAUAGCUAAUACCGCAUAACAAUGGAUGACACAUGUCAUUUAUUUGAAAGGGGCAAUUGCUCCACUACAAGAUGGACCUGCGUUGUAUUAGCUAGUAGGUGAGGUAAUGGCUCACCUAGGCGACGAUACAUAGCCGACCUGAGAGGGUGAUCGGCCACACUGGGACUGAGACACGGCCCAGACUCCUACGGGAGGCAGCAGUAGGGAAUCUUCGGCAAUGGGGGCAACCCUGACCGAGCAACGCCGCGUGAGUGAAGAAGGUUUUCGGAUCGUAAAGCUCUGUUGUAAGUCAAGAACGGGUGUGAGAGUGGAAAGUUCACACUGUGACGGUAGCUUACCGGAAAGGGACGGCUAACUACGUG